rnacentral:rRNA from 1 species
CCUACGGGUGGCAGCAGUGAGGAAUAUUGGUCAAUGGCCGGAAGGCUGAACCAGCCAAGUCGCGUGAGGGACGACUGCCCUAUGGGUUGUAAACCUCUUUUAUAAGGGAAGAAUAAUUGCUACGUGUAGCAUGAUGCCUGUCCCUUAUGACUAAGCAUCGGCUAACUCCGUGCCAUCAGCCGAGGUAAUACGGAGGAUGCGAGCGUUAUCCGGGUUUAUUGGGUUUAAGGGGUGCGUAGGCGGUUUUUUAAGUUAGUGGUUAAACGUUGGGUCUUAACCUUAAUUUUCCAUUAAUACUGGAAGACGCGAGGUCAGACGAGGUAGGCGGAAUAAGUUAAGUAGCGGUGAAAUGCAUAGAUAUAACUCAGAACUCCGAUAGCGAAGGCAGCUUACCAGACUGCGACUGACGCUGAAGCACGAGAGCGUGGGGAGCGAACAGGAUUAGAUACCCUGGUAGUC